rnacentral:lncRNA from 7 species
AUUUUUCUCCAGGGCUCUUGUGUAGAGUUACAGCUGUCAAGAAUCUAACCUGGAGAGCAGAGAAUAGAAGGGGUUGUGUUUCAAAGGACCAUGGAAUCAUUAGAAUUCUUGGAGUUGGAAGGGAUCUUUAAAGGUCGUCUUGUCCAACUCUCCUCCACAAUGAACAUGGACACCACAGCUAGAUCAGGUUGCCCAAGGCCUGAUCUGGUCUUACCUUCGAAGUCUCCAGGGACAGAGCAUUCACAGCAUGUCUGGGUAACCUGUCUCAGUGCCUCACCACCAUCACUGUAAAAGACCUUUCUUAUAUCCAACUACUGAAAUCUACCCCCUUUACUCCUGAAAAAAUUUACCCUUAUUUUAUCAGAACGGUUUCCAAUUUAAAGAAAAAUUUCUUGGCUCUGCUCCUAUAUAGCUCAUUUCUUUGUAAUUUCAAAGCCUUAAGUAUUAAUCAUAUCUCUAUUUGGUUGGAGUUACACAACUAAUUUCUGAAAUCUGAGCAGAGAUCACAUGUGUAUCCAGAAGGAAAUGUCUGCAUUAGGUAUUGUUUUGCUCAGAAAUGGAGCUAUUCCGUCUCUGCUCUGCAGCUACCUUUGUUUUGAAAUUCAGGGUUAAAAACCCACGCUGAACAAUGGAGGAAAAAGAAACCCACAAUCUGAUGCAUAAGAAACUGUGAAAUAAAGGCAUUUGUUAUAAAGUUGUUAUAAAGGCAUUAAUAUUGCCCUUGGAGUUAAUUAAGAAAAUUCUCUGAAUUAUUACACACCUUUUUCAGCAAUAUCCUUCAAAUCAGAGAUGGUUUCUUGUUUAUUUUUCUUUUUAAGAAUACUCUCUGGAGCAUAGGAAUACAGCAAAUAGUUUUUCCUCCACUAUUGUACAUUGGCUUUCACUUUUUUCACUACGAUAUGCAGAUAUGAAAUGCAGCUAAUGCUUGCUCUGAAAGGGACGGCUCAAUAAUAUCUGAGAAAUUUACUGGCUCCAGAUGUUCUUUGCAACAACAUUAUUUCUCCUGCCUAGGGGAAAAAAAAAACAAGGAAUGAUCCAGAGGAACCGUUGUUCUUCAGAUUUUCAGUUGUUCAAUAUGAUAUGUAAUAUGAAUGGCCCCUUCUAAGGGCUCACUAAAAUAAGGAAUAGCCUUGCACAGAAGAGUUGCUGAUUAUUAUUUGAAUGAAAGCCAAGUCACAGAGGAAAAGAAAUCUAGUUAGAUAAAAUAAUUUAGAGAUUAGUACUUUUCUACAUGUACGCUCUGCUUUAAGGAUAGAAUACAUUUUGAGAAUCAUGUUUCUAGCAGAAGCCUAUGACUUUAUCAGAAUGGUUCCAAUUCUGCUCAUGUCCAGAUCUUUCUACAACACUGCUGUCUGGAAACUAUAUUUGUUUUGUACAGCAAGCUAGCUUAAAAAGGCCUUUUUCAUUCCCAAGGAUCAAUAUGAGCUACUUGGUUCUUUGUAGAAUUUUUUAUGAAGUAUUCCUAACCAAGGGCUUCAAAGUACCUCUAAUUUAAACUGCUGACUUGCAACUGCGCUUGUUUUUACUCGGGAAUUUUUCCUUUUUCUAACACUAUUUUUGUAGCAAAGUAAAUCUGUUCUUUCUGGAAAUAGCUGUUUAAACUUGCAGUUCUGUGCAGUUCUUCUCUUUUGCUACACUUAAGUUAAAUCUUUAAUGUUUAUUUUGGAAAUGAGUACACAGACCUAAGCACUAUUUUUGAUGGUUAUUGAUAUCAACUUUCUUCAAACCUGAAUCAUUAAAGCCACUCCUACUUACGU